GAUGAAGAACGCAGCGAAAUGCGAUACGUAAUGUGAAUUGCAGAAUUCAGUGAAUCAUCGAAUCUUUGAACGCAUAUUGCGCUCUCUGGUAUUCCGGAGAGCAUGCUUGUUUGAGUAUCAGUAAACACCUCAACUCCCCUUUCUUUUUUUGAAAUGGGAGCUGGACUUGAGUGAUCCCAACGCUUUUCUCACCGAAAAGUGGCGGGUUACUUGAAAUGCAGGUGCAGCUGGACUUUUCUCUGAGCUAAAAGCAUAUCUAUUUAGUCUGCCUAAAAAACAGAUUAUUACCUUUGCUGCAGCUAACAUAAAGGAGAUUAGUUCUUGUGCUGACUGAUGCAGGAUUCACAGAGACAGCUUCGGCUGGCCUUUGUAAACUCGAUCUCAAAUCAAGUAAGACUACCCGCUGAACUUAAUCAUAUCAAUAAGCGGAGGA
rnacentral:misc_RNA from 1 species